rnacentral:rRNA from 1 species
CAAUAGCGUAUAUUAAAGUUGUUGCAGUUAAAAAGCUCGUAGUUGGAUUUCUGGUGGGAGCGAUCGGUCUGGCGCUUAGCGCGAGUACUUGCAUCGUCUCCGGCCAUCCUUGGGGAGAGUCUGUCUGGCAUUAAGUUGUCGGGCAGAGGAUCCUCAUCGUUUACUGUGAAAAAAUUAGAGUGUUCAAAGCAGGCUUAUGCUGUUGAAUAUAUUAGCAUGGAAUAAUAAGAUAGGACUUUGGUACUAUUUUGUUGGUUUGCGCACCAAAGUAAUGAUUAAUAGGGACAGUUGGGGGUAUUCGUAUUCCGUUGUCAGAGGUGAAAUUCUUGGAUUUACGGAAGACGAACUACUGCGAAAGCAUUUACCAAGGAUGUUUUCAUUAA